rnacentral:lncRNA from 1 species
CCGAGAGAACAAUCACCACACGUGUGCCACAGGAAGCCGUUAUGAUGGACGACUAACGUGGUUCACGUGUGGGACUUUGAAAUCCUCCAGCGUCCCCAACAAAGAGGCUGGAUGGAAUGGGUCUGACUAGCCACACGAAUACCGUUUGGUAGGUAGGCAACACAGGAACCAAUCGUCAGCACCUAAGCCACGAAGGCUAAGGUGACAAUGAAAAGGAUGCAUGUCACACGU